ACCCAGCCGACGAGUCCCAAAUAGGACGAAACGCGCAUCCUGAAU
rnacentral:hammerhead_ribozyme from 1 species